CCACACCCUGUCGUCGCUCGCGCGCGGCGUCCGUUGGUGCGACCGUCGCCGAGGCCUCGGGGCCCGCGGGGCGUAAGGCCAAAAGGAAACACCGCCUCCGCCCGCCCGCCGCCGCCGCCGCCGCCGCUCAGUACACCCACCUCGUCCGUAAGCCCCCGGGACUCAUCAGCGGCGGCUUCAAAUGAUAGCAGCACAGCCGCAGGACUGCUCCCCACCCGGCUGGCUCUUGCCUUCCUUGGGCUUCGACGCCCGGACCGUGGCGUCUUGACGUCACGCGAAGGCCUCGCCCCGCCUCCCUCGUCCCCAGGCAGCCAAUAGAUGCCACGAGCUUGAUUUGAGCCUCCCCCCCCCCCUUCCGCCUACGCUACCACGCGGUGGGCGUUCUUAAUGCAAGCCGGAAACCGGGGUGGGGACGGUGGCUCCGAGGGGACACGCACGGCAUAGUUCGCAGGAAGGACAGCAAAUCCAGUCCGUUACUCCAUCUUGUUCAGAAGUCUUCAGGCCCACACAUCGAAGGCUUCCUGGAACAUUCCUUUCGGUGUACAAGAUGGAAACGAUUAGCAAGCAUGGAGCUGUCCCCUACGGCAGGCCCCCACUGGACACCUGACAUCUGGCACUCUGGGCCAACAAGCCCUGACCUGAAACCCUUGGGGCUGUUUACGUGUUUGGGGAUUCAGGAUCUUUCAGACUUUCAAGAGAGAACAUGGUGUAUAUUCCACAGAGGACACGGUACCCUCAGUACCCUGCCCAGCACUUGGAAGUAACCCCAUCAGUGUUUCUGUAGAGAAAUAGAUGGACAUUCACACCAGGCAGGGAAAUAGUCUGUAAGUAACCUCGUGCCAGGUUGGGCUUUGCUGCCCAGUGAGUUCAGGGAAGACUUUUGGUCUAACGGAGCUCUUUGGAUUUUGGAAUUGCUGAGGAGGGACUGGGGAGCUGUCUUUGACACUCUCUGAUGGAUGACAUAGCUGAGGUCCAGCUAGUCGAGCGACGACCCACGCCCACCUGGUGGUCAGGAGCGGGCCUGGGCUCUUAACCACAGGGAUCCCGCUCUGCAUUUGCCCACUCCGCAGCCAUUGUCUGUCACUCCCACCUCAAAUUUCUCCUCUCUCAGGCUUUCUCCCAAGAUUCCAAACCCAGCCAAGAGCUGUCACGUUCCGAGAGCCCUGCUGUACAGCGGUUUACUGGGCUCGUCCUCUUUCUAUGGACUUUAGUUUCCAGAGUUUAGCUGAUCGAAGUAUCGUUGCAGCAAACAGUGCCUAAAAUACAUCCUUACGUGUCUCUGCUUUAUUUCCAUAAAUUGAUUCCCACAAGUAGGACUGUCGGGUCAAAGGGUCUGUCACAUGUGAGCAGACUAUUUUUUUCAUUGGACUGCAGCUCAUAGCCUCAGGAGUGGUGCACGAGCUGUUCCGCCACAUCCUGGCCAGCACGGGACAUGAGCCCUCCUUUCCUUAUAUGAUAAUCUUAUAAUUUUAAUUUUAUAAUAAUUCUUUUUCACUGGGUGGUGAAAACAAAGUUUCUGCUUGUUUCACGGUGCGCUUCCUAAUUAUUAGAAUUUGAAUGCCCUUUAGUCUGUUCACUGGCAUUGGGAUUUUCACUUCACUGAAUGUUCAUCUUAGAUGCUUAUUUUCAAGUUGGGUCAUCUUUUUCUUGGUUUGUGGAAGCUUUGCAGAUUAUACGUAUGUAUUAAGAAUUAUCUAUUUCUUUGCCAUGUGUGUUUUUAGAAAAACAAACUAUUUUCCCCAGACUGUCAUUUUGCCUCUUGACUUUACGGUAUUUUUUUCACUCCACAAGUUGUCAAAUAAGUUAUCUUUUCCUUUCAGUCUUUAGGAUACCUUGCUGAAAAUCCUCCCCCUCCAACCGAGAUAUACAAUAUACAAAAGUCUCCUCUUUUCCCUUGAAACACUUCUGUCCCUUUACUUGUCUACAUUUAGGUUUUCCACCCAUAUUGUAUGUAGACUGUUUUCUUCCAGCUGGAGAGCUAAUCAUGUCAGCAUUCCUUCGAAACCAGUCCUUUUCACCCUGACUUGAAAUCUGUUUUCUGUCAUAUGUACACACACACUGAGAUCUAUUUCUAGGCUGUCUCUUCUGUUCCAGGGAUAUGCGUCUCUUCCUGCGUCAGGACGUGUGCUGCUUUUAGAUCAGGGGUGGGGGGGAUUUUUUUUUUUUUUUUUUUUAAAGAACAAUCCCUUUGGAACUGCUGCAGAGCCUGGACAGGAGAGAAACACCUGGCGGCCAAGAGGCAGGGCGAGAGCAGAGGUGAAGAGAAUCUCCACCCCCCCAACCACAAGGCCAGAUUGGGGGAGGGGAGAAAAAAGGACCCAGCUGCUUGUAAAAUAAAGUCGUCCCUUUUAUUUCAAA